rnacentral:rRNA from 1 species
UACAGAGGUCUCAAGCGUUGUUCGGAUUCAUUGGGCGUAAAGGGUGCGUAGGCGGCGCGGUAAGUCGGGUGUGAAAACUCGAGGCUCAACCUCGAGAUGGCGGCGGAAACCAUCUGGCUAGAGUCCGGAAGAGGAGAGUGGAAUUCCUGGUGUAGCGGUGAAAUGCGCAGAUAUCAGGAAGAACACCAAUGGCGAAGGCGGCUCUCUGGGACGGUACUGACGCUGAGACGCGAAGGCGUGGGGAGCGAACGGG